rnacentral:tRNA from 15 species
UUCAAUCCCGGUUCCGCGUUUUGAGUGGUUCGGAGGUGGUUCGAUUCUUCUC